ACGACUAGUUUUUAUAAAAGUUCUAGCGUGUUUUUAACGCACAAACUAAUGUGUGCAUAAAUUUUUAACGAAAACAUAAAUUAAUAAUUUAUUUGAUUACGAAUCUAUUUACAGUCCAUACAAUUAAAAGCGCUCUGAAUCGUUUUACAAUCACUAGCGUAUUACGUAAUAAGAACAAAAUUUGUUAUGUGGAUGGGAAAAGUUGUGAAUGUGACAAAUCAAUGCAUACAAAAACUACACGCAUAAAAACCAAUUUUUAUUGUUGUUGUUUUAUUACAUAAAAUUUAUAUUUACAAAUUUUUAGAGAACUUUCUUGGCAAUAUGUAGAAUUUCAUAAAGAAUAUUUUAUAUAUUUGUCAGAAUUAGGAAAUUCAAGUGCUACAUUUCCAAAUAUUGAUAUCGAACAACCACUUUCAUCUGAGUUUACUGUAUUACCCAACGAUAAAAAAAAAGAAAAUGCACAUCAAAAGUUUGGGAAUCUUAUAAAAAAAAUUGUGAUGAAUGGUCAUUGUAAAGCCAAGUGUAAUUACUGCUUGCAUUAUUUAUCGGCAAGACUUACAGAUGGAACUAGCCACUUGGUCAAACAUUUGUGGAUUAAACACCCAUAAGUUUGUUCCCCAAUAAAAGAUCAAACCUUUUUACUGAGUGAAUAUGUAAUAAAUGACGGAACAUUUGAUUUGAAAAGUUUCAAAAUUAACCAAGAAAAAAGUAGAAAUGAUUUAGCACGUAUGAUAAUACAUCACGAAUAACCUUUUUUGAUUGUGGAACAAUGCGAUUUUUGAGAAUAUUGUAAAAAUCUUUAACUUCUUUUUAAAAUGGUUCGUCAAUUUUAGA